AGUACCAUAAUAACCGGGAUUCAUUAGCGAAUCGAAGAAAAGAUCGAUGAUCUCGAAGAAGACAACGCGCCAUCAACGAAUUGGGAAACAUUCGAAUUUCAGUCGAACUUCUCAGAAAAGUUGCUUAGAGGGAAAAGAUUGUCGAAACGUUUCGUUCGGCGUGCAGCUCGAAAAAUUGAAAGCAUCGUUGCAGCUGCCGAUGACAGACGCGAAGAACUGAAUACGGAGCCUUGUAUGUGACUAAUGAUUCGGAAUGCACUGGGUUAUCGGUAAUUCGUAUCCCGCAGCGUAUGCUGAUUGCGUUGCUACGAUUGACAUUGCCAAUAUGCUUCAUUAAACUCACUUGUAAAACGACAAGAACGUCGAUAUCGAUCUUUCAGACGAGCUUUCUUUUCUUGCCGCAGACGUGAAAUAGUUACAUUUUUCACCGCCAACUUUGAUACGCAAAGGUGAUAAAAAAUUACAAAAUUGUUUUAAACUAGUCGUACCGCCAGAUACGAACAACAACAAUUCGAAAAUUCUAUCCAUAACGAAUGAGCUUGAACGGGGAUGUUGGUAAUAACGUAAAAACACGGAAAGAAGACCGAAUAUCGUAAACGACCACGAUUUACAUAUUUAUGGCAAUUAUUGUAAAUUAUUUCCCUUGAAAUCAGAAUCAGUCGACAGUUAACAUCUGUUGCAACGAAUCAAAUGAUUUUCUUUAAUUCUAUUUAACAUCGACCGCGUAUACCUAAAUAUUUGUCGCUGACGGAAUUUCGUUAAAAUUUUUCAGCCGUUAAAUACGCUAGUGCCCUUUUACGAAGAAAAAAGAGAAUACGAGGAUCAGGCGAGGUUGUGUUUUAUUCUUUCGACCAAUAAAAGCCAAGCCGGAAAAGCAGCCGGUAUCGCUAUUCCGAACAAAAAUACGAUUCCAUUGGAUUCGAAUAUUCGAAAUAUGUUGAGCAGGGAUUCCCAAUGGAGCGAGUAGCAGCGAGUAAUCAUUUUUCAAGUUUUCCCGGGAGGUCAACGUCGAGUCCUGGUCAGAACGAUGUCAACGAGACUUUUAGCGUGCUCUCGGUCGUCACGGCAAUACCGUAGGCAAAGCACGAAGCCACGCAGCCCUCCGCCAAAUAAAACAAAGCCGUAGCGACCGCGUGCGAGAGUUCACACCACGACCGCAGAAACGGCUGCCAAGCCGAGCAGAAAUGUGUGCAGACAUAUCCCCGAAUCCCCGGAUCCCUCGAGCACUGACCGACCAAUUAACCUUCUGCACAUUCUGGGUCCUCUGCCUUUUCCAAUGACCAACUCUCCAUGCUUCACCUUUGCUAUUCGUUCGUAGCUUCCUCUCGCUUAUUUACAAAACGGUAAACUUUCCAUUCGGACGUUCGUUUUCUCUCGUUGACAUCUAAAUGCUCUGAACGUAUGUAUGUACGUAUCGUAUAAUAGAAAAUUCCGUUAAGUCUAGAAUUUAACAUACUCGCAUAAACGUGAUACACGCCGUGUCGGAGAAUACCUUGCGAUUCGUUUCAACCACUGAAUUCCUGACUCGUUUGUUCUGCGUGUAAAUAUUAAAGCCGAAAAUAUCGGAUUGCGAAGGGAAUGCGAGCAGGCAAGCAAGCACGUCUCCACUUCUGACGUUGUCAUUCUCCCCGAGGCAUAAGCUUACCUCACAUACGAAAGCACGUGUAUCAUGCAUGCAUUUUAUAUUACCGCCGCUUUUUCACUGCGAAACUCAGCUCCGAAAAAUUUCCAACCUUUUUUCCGUUCUGCGUCCGCAGCCACACAACUCUCUUGGCCCUCUUUUAAUCGCGAUUUCAAUCGUUUUCCUUAAUUACGAGGUCUUCGUAAUUCCGGUCAAGUUAGCGGUCAACCCGACUUUUUAACGAUGUACGAUUCGCGACCGACAACCGCGUAGAUGAAAAGUCAAGGCACGAACUUUUCACGAACAAGUGUUUUCAUCGAUCAUUUGCAAUUCUUCUAUCGAAGCUGUGCUGGCAAGUAUCGUGUCCCGGUUCGACAAACUUUACGGCAAACUUUACGACGAGGCAACAGGGGCGAAGCAAAAUCGUGGAAUUGCAAUCGUAACCGGGACGAUAACUCGUUUUCCGUAAGGAAAAAAUUGCGGGUGAUCCCUUAAAAUUAUAGAAGGUUCGUUUGCUUAGCCUGGAAAUCGGGCAACGCUCGCGUAAGCUUCUCCAUAGACGACAUCUGGGUCAACCUCGGUCGUUCGUAAAUAUCGGCUCAAAGUCGCACCGAGAUCGAGUUUACGCGACCGCUUUAAUAAAAUGAUCGCGUGAAUUCUUUUGGGAAAAAACGACAAGUUUCUAGUUGAGCCGCGAUGGAUAUACCGGUCUGUGCCGGUAAGCGACUUUCAACGGGGAACGCGGACUUGGUAUUGCGUACGACACGGUACACCGAAAUCCGGGAUUAUCCGAUCUUAAUCCACGUAAGAGUGGCGAGUGACACGCGUGCAUGCGGUAAUACGCGACGCUAGGGUUCGCGUAUGCGGCUAAGUUUGCUAUAGUGGUAUUCACCGGAAACCCAGUUAGGGCUAGCAAUAAACUUUUAGUGGCCUUAGCCGACGCCAGACUUACCGUACGGAAUUCCAGUUUAAAUUGAAAAUUCCACGCCGUGAAAAGGCCGGGCAAACUUCCACGACGUACAUUAACGCGUGCCGUCAACUCGCACGGAAUUAGAACGGUCGCGGAAAAUCUUUUAAACCGAGACGCGAAUGCUGACCAAGAUAUUUCCUUGAAUCCUGGUAAAUUGUUAUUUCUCGCUGGGAUGCUUAACACCAUCAUCGCGUUACGAGAUACGGGCUAAUAGUCGCUGUAUGCGCGAUUCUCGAUAAUGAGCAUCACAGGUCACGCAAGAGACAGAGUUUGCCCCGUGGUUUCGCGCAUAUAUUCUACUCUUGAUCUCCCGAUAUACGCAUUAUCAACCGAAAUGCAUUCGCGACGAUAAUGCAAUAUCACGCGAAUCGUGGACUCGCUUUCAUCGUCUGUCACACCCUAGGCAUCGGAUCCUGCGAGACGUGAAUUAAGCGUAUACAUUCGACGAAAAUAUAUCGCAGCGGUGCCCCGUACGAAUCGAGACAGAGAAAUACGAAUGAACGAUGGCCAAGAAAAAUGGAAACGAAGAGAGGAUCUGCGAAUUCGAAUAAUAUUUGCGUGAAUACGAAAGGUGUUAUCGCGUGUUUAAAGUGUCGGAAGCCUCUUAUUAUACUUACGGAGAAUCGCAUAAGAACAACGGACGAAAAGAAAGGAGAAAGUAAAAACCAUCGAGGAGAAUUCUUUAACGGAGAAUUCAUGCGACAAGGGAAAGAAAUAACAAGUUCGAUCAAAGACGCUGGACGUACGUCUAAUUACAUCGUUAAGGUAAUCCGUUUUGAAAUCCUUAAAGCGAUUGUCCACGACAAGGCGACGUUAAAUGUACGCGGUAACGAAUAGCUAUGUGUACCUAUAUAUUUAUGUCGUAGAGUGAAAUACAAGAAAAAGUAGGAAACGCUGGAAGAGAAAGAAAGCGUUAACUUGAUACCUCGGAUAGAAAUGAAAACGAGAAAUGAAACAAAGGAAAGCUGCAAAGAAGGUGAACACCUUAACAAGAUAACCCGCUGGUUUGCGUUGAGAACUGAAACAGGAAUCGCGCGACUAAAAUACAUAAAAGACAAAGAACGAGCAGGAAUAAAGCGAAUACCUUGGCGAAUAGGUUCCUUAAUGAAAGAAACAAAUAAGCUAAUAAAUAGAAAAAGACCAAGAAUAAAGUAAAACGUAUUACAAGAGAUACGGCAGAGGCAAGAAAGGAAAAGAAGAGCAAAGAGAAAUCAGCCCAGUUUUGCAUAUACGCGCGUUGAGUUGUGGCAUGGACCGAGCGAAAAUAGAAUACGAAGGAUGAGUUUAUGUCGAAGGUACGUUUGCUGACGAGAUGGACGUAUAAUUUUGAACGACUGGAUUUUUUUAAAGUUUCCAUCAUUACGCGGUUAUUCCUCGAGAGCUUUCCAUUCAAUUGCGUUAUCUUCGAGAUGUUUGAAUUUUAUCGAAGAAUUUCCUUUCGGUUUCGUCCGCUGCUUUCGGUCGAAAAUUUUUCUUCGCAUCUUAUCGUUGCAUUUAUAGCCGGUCGAUCGAAAAUACGGGUUUCAUCUCGGUCAAUCAAAAUAUCAAGGAGCGGAUAACUUAACGAUCUAUCAUUCACGAUUUGCUCGAUAGACGACCCAUCAAACCAUCCAUCGCGAAUCGAUGUUCGAACGGAUUUAACAUUAAUUCAACUCGGUAAAUUCGCGCUGCAAUCCAGCGUCGUCCAUUUCACGAUUGCCGAGCGAACAAAGGAAAGCACCGCACUUGGACAUUCACCUGCAUUGUCUCUUUUUUCAUCGCUUUGAGAGCGACAUCGUGCCGCACGGUUGUUAGAUACAAACACAAACAGACAGCGAUGGUGUCGUGGACGACCGUUCGAUUUGUGACAAAAUGGAUGCAACGGAACUUUUCAGCCAAUGGAUGUAAAAAUAGAUGAGACGACGGAAGUGUGGUUUUUUAACGAACGUGGAACGGCACCGAUGACAUUUUCCAAUCAAAAACCAUUAUUUACUCGACUAACAUGCGUCUCCAUGUAUCGGUCAUUUUAUCGGCAACGUACAAACGCUCUUUCCUUCAUCGACAUUGUCGUCUUAAAAAAUCUAUGAUCGCUAUUAAUCCCGCGAUAGAUGAAAGAAUCGCGAAAAAUGAUAACCGGAUAAAAAAAUAAAAAAAUGCUCCUUCGAGGUCGUUGAGCAAAUUUAUUUCAGAUCGUUCCAAGAACAUCGAAUCGUGGUCGUUCAAAGGCCACUUACGAUCAAUGUUCGGCCAAUUUGCGAAAUAACUUCGCAACGAUGAUAUCACCGACCGUGUGACACAUAUUUUUAAGCUAAGAAAGGAAGUAAGAUAUAGUUGAAAUAUGGUACGCAUGUGGUGAAAAUAAAAUUUACAUGCAUGUCGUAUAAUGGCUUAAGUGCUUUCCUUCGCUGUCACGGUUUCCAUUGGAACAUCGUCUCUUGCUUUUCGUCCGUUCGGCACACAUCGGUUUCGACGUAUGACGAAAAUAUCGUAGGAGCCGUGCAUACCACCGUUACUAUUCGGCCAUCCACGGAAACGACAGGAAACCUUUUUCUUGCCGCGAAAACCUAUCCAGCAGAAAGCUUUCUUGUCAUGCGGUGCUUGCGACCCGUAUAUGUAUACUCGCAGCUUUGCUGUCACGGAAAAACAUGUGUCAUGCUUAUGUAACCCUCGCUAGAGGACAAACCGUCGUCAGUCGUUCGCCGUUCGUCGUUCGCCUGUCGAAUGCAGCUACGGCAGCGUUAAAGUAGCAGUUCAGCGACUGGCGGAAUGCGAAUUUCAAUUAUCGAAACUCGUCCAUGUAGCCUCUUCCAGUUCGUUUAUGACAGGGGGGCGAAAUUACGAAACGGCAAAGUCACAUCGAACGAAACGCGUCGUUCUAUAUUCACGCCAACGAUUGAAAAAUUAUAGACUGUCCGGUGGAUUACAAAUGGCAGACGCGAUCAAGUGGAUUGCCGGAUUGUUCGUUGUAACACGGUCAGUGACGAGCAAAUACCCGUGUGCGCGGCACGGUGACAAUCGUCACCGUGUUCGUAGCCAAAUACUUGUUAAGCGGAUGAGAUUCCGUCGCACCGGUUAAGCAUCGCGGAAUAUUUAACGAUCGAUCGAAUCCUGAUUCGAUCCCACCGACAACGGAUAAAUUUAAUGGUUUCGCGAAUCCAGUGUCUUUCUCUUUUUUUUUUCUUUUUUUCAUCAUUUCCCUCUCGGAGCAUCGGAAGUUUAUAAAACAAGUAUCAGCGGGAAGACAUCGAAUACGUCAGCCUGUUAACGAUGACAGCGGAGCUUCGAUUCAAUCUCGAUAAUCGAAAUGUCGAAGGAAGAUUACGCUAAACAAAGGUUGGAUAAAUUGUUCGGACGUAAAGCCGGGUAGAAAGAAGGGGUGGAAAGGAGGGACAAGGUGGAAUUGAACGGAAAAUCUUUCUUAGUACGAUUAUAGGGGUCAUGCUUGCAUUGGCGGCUGUACCCCAUCUCGGUCUUCGCAAGGUUGCAAGCGGCUUACGGUUGCGAGAAGACGCGUGCCGAAGUCUUAAGGUGUCCUUAAUCCAGUCGUGAUCAGCAGCGUACCGCCCAGGUUCUACUCUCUCACCGGUUGAUCCCUGGAAAUUGGAUCGAUAAGCUCUUAUUCGGUCCACCGCCUCCGACUGGAUCCUAGCGGCGUUCGUCGAGUUGCUUCCACGAUAUUGCGACCGUUAUUAGGUUCUAUCAGUCGAUGUGCCUACCUGUUCUCCAGUUCGAUUCGACUCGCUUCGAUUCGAUGGAAUUGUAUGUAUGUACAAACUUGCUGUCCGAUAAACGUCCAUAAACGGAAACGCGCUCGUCCGGUCUUAGCUUUUCUCGAUCUUCUGAACAGCAACAUUUGCCAACGAUCCAGACGUUAUUGUUUUCCAUACGUUAUCCGUCCCUGCUAUUCGCGUCGUUAACCCCUGUGCGAGAAAUUCAACAUUUCUCACGGAAAACGCUUAUUCGUUCUCAGUGAUACAUCGAUCGAAGAAAUCAUCGUUGUUUUACAUCGAAUCCUCGUUGACUUCUUUUUCUUUUUUUCUCGCACGAGUAACAACACGCAGGUUUGUCACGGCAAAAUGCAACGGACAAUGGCGUGAUUAGUGUAGGGUAAAGUUCAGCUAGACCAACUAAUGGCUCUGGUAACACGGUCCGAUUGAGUUGCUGGUGUUGUCCGAGUUUGACCUAUCAUUGUUUCGCUCGAAAUACCUUGCUGAACAUGUAAACAUUCCUGGAUACAUUGCGCUAUGGGAUCGCUUUUUAACGAAUCGUAACUCGAAGACGAUGUGGUGGAAUCGUUCGACGUUCGUGGAAUUCUACCCAUUAUCGUACGAAUUUAAAGAAAAAGAAGAAAGAUGAGAUUUGAAGGUUUUUCUACGAAUAUAAAAAUUCAAUGCGAUUAGUCAAAGCCCGCAUCCUGGCGUAAUCGCUGCUUUAAUCGCUGUUACUUGUGCGUUUUAAACGCGGUUACCUAUUUUAAAUAACCCGUUUGAAGAAAGCGUAGUUUACAACGAAGAAUUAGCGAACGUCAAGUCCGUAGAACGAAUUCUUUCUCGUGUGGCGUUUUUCGCGUGGUAAAAAUGAAGUUUGCUGCUCGUUAAGGAGAGUAAAAACGUGGCACUGCGGUACGACGCCGCUCUUCGACGAUGCAUAGAAAUUACUGGACACGCGAAUCGCUAUGAUUUCAAAUUUAUAGGACUAUUAUAGUCAAAAGACGAAGAAUCAAAACUGAUUGGAAAUAAUGGUGGUUUGCGAUCGUUUGGUUUAGAGAUAAGCGAAUGGAAAACUUUCGAGAGAAACGAACGAGUAAGAGGAAAGAGAAAAAGCUGAACGGUAGCGUCCAAAAGACAGGAGAACGGUUUCUAAUAAAACAUGGCCUAGCCAGUUCCACUACCAACACCCCGACAUUCUCAGCAGGACGUGGACACUAUCGGUUUUAUUUACUUUUAUCGUGUUCCCCUUCCAUUCUGUGCACACUAUUUCCUUCCAUUUACUUUGCCGUCCACUUACUUUCUCAUUUUUGUUCCUUCGACUGCUAUCGUUCUACUUUUAUAACGUAGUCCAUGUAUCAGAAAGAAGAAGACCGAUGAGAGUAGAGGUCAGAGGGAAUAAAAUAGAGUUUAAGUCUUUACGAGAGAAACAAGUAAGUACAUGGAUCAUCGUCCGUGAGUAAACCGCGACAAAUUCUCACGGAUUCGUAAUUAGAAAGCUUGUAUAGGGAUUAAGAGUGUCGAUUAUUUUGAAGAGAGCUCGAUAACCGUUUUAAAUUACUGUUUAUAAAAAAUUAAUGUUAAGCUGGACGGGAAAAUUACGUAUAAAAUCAGAAAAACGACGAAACGAUGCGACGCCACUCCGAGUUAAUUUAUUCAUAGUGGCGUUAAAAUAUUCAUUGAACGCGAAAAACCGACGCUUUUGUUACUUGUUUUUCAAACUGUGUACAUCAAACGACUAUAUCGAUUAAACUUAUAAAUUAUGAUUUCAUCCUGCUAGUUGCCAGCGUAUCUUCCGACGUUGUUCAAACUCUUUGGACAAGGAUCCUAAAGGAAUAAGUAGAAAAAUCCGAUUUAACGCUAACACGGUACUGUUAACAUUAAAUAACUGUUAGCGAGCAUUUUGCCUGGUAGAAAAUCCCCGAUCGCUUACAGAUUGGCACGAUUUUGCUAGUCGGGACUAUCGGAACGAGGUCGUUUUCCAUAACCGUUAGAACAAACGACCCGCCGAUAACGAGUCCCAUAAAUCCGCGAACGAUCGCCGAAAUCGACUUGUUUCCAGUUUGCAACCGAUAUUUCACGGUAGGUAUAAUUUCAUUGUUGUAUGCGCGUUUUCACAGUGACGAGCGACACACUGACAUUCGAUAAAUAUGAACGGCGGAAUUAUUUGAAUUGCGCGUUAUACGACCCAAUUAGUACCUGCACCGUAAUUUUUUCGACGUAUUCCUUUCCCGUACACGUGUACGUAAUCCGAGUUUGUAUUCGCGAGUUCAUCGUGUUUUCUCUGCUCGCGCGCAUCUCUGUACACGCGAUCACCCUACGAAUAAAACGGUAACCGAGUUGCAUUCAACAGAGAACAGACGAUAAAUUAUCGGAAUUGGCUUUAAUUGGCACUGUCGUUUCGACAAAUAAUCUUAAUUGCGGCCAUAGCAAGAUGUUUUCACAAUUUCAAUUUAUUGAUCGAUAUAACGACCGCCACCGCAGCAGAUUCACCUUCGUAAAUUAAUUAGUAGAUGUAAUUCACUUCCGGUGGGUAAUAACGGAUUGCGAAGGUAGUUUUCUGGUUCGGCGGUGAGCGCUAAAUGACAAUUUACCUAAAAGCAAAUUCACCGAUUAUUGCGGAGAACUGUGGAAACCUCGAGGCUAGUGGUGAACGCACACGCUGCACCGCAUUCGGUCACAUCUGCCCGCGCGUCUCGUCUUUGUCCAUUCGGAUUUUAAUCAUCCGCGUAUAAUCUCUUUCUUUCCGUUUAAUCUGCUUCGUCCAGGGAGAAAUUAAUGGAUCGUGAACUCGGUCAGCACCGCUGGACGCUGACUGUGCCGUCGCACCAACCCCAUCGUCUAACCGUACUAAAAUGAUUAAAAUUUUUUUCCAACAUUCGUUAACGACUUGCCAAGGAGCCUGAAGAAAAUCUGAGACAAACGAGCACCGUGGAAAACAGAGUUUCGAUUCCGGAGUUUGUAAGGAACGGUGAAAAAUGACUAGACGUUUUGAUGCAUCAUCGUCGAGUGUAAGCGUCCCAAUUUUAUACGCGCAAACAUAUCCUCGUAACUAAUAAAUCUUUCGCCCCAAUUGUUUAGCUAAUUCCCACGCUUUCACAAAUACCAACGAAAUUGUCAUCGGUAAGGCAACAAACAGCGUUGUCCUUAUUUUAACGGCUCCCUUUAUGCUCUUUAUGCGCGAUUUUAGAAUUAAUUUGCCGGCAACGGUAGCGGUAACGGAACGUGCGUUACAAAUCACGCGUAAUUCGCAAUAAAGCGUCGUUACAGAACAUUAUUGUUCCGACAGGGUAGCGAGAAUAAUUAGCAGGCGAUAGCGAGGCGUGAGGGCGAUAAAUUGCUCUUUUGGGGCAUCGCUUUAUCUCGUCGGCGACGAAUAGAGAGCUCGGAUCGCAAAGAAAAACUGAAAAUACGAAGACGGCACGAAAUCCAAUCCAAGAGAAUUCAUAUCGAUUCUAUUCAACGAAGAAUCGACUCGAUUAAUUUUUCGAUUUCGCCUGAUUUCAGGCUCAAUUGUACAGCCAUGAGAGACCGUCCUUCUUGUCUGUUCUUCUGUUUCGAACGGUCAUGCUGCCACGAUCCUUCUCUCCAGCUUUAUUUCUCGUCGCGUCGCGUUGCUCCAUCUCUGCCCUGUUCCGCUCGAAUUUCGUCUUAAUGGCGACGUAACGUUCUAUUUAUCGCAAGAUAGAAAACUGGCAGAAGUUGAACACGUUCAGUUAACCAAGUUCCGUGCGGCUCCGUGUCGACGGAAAAUUACAGCUAUUAAUCGUAAAACUGUUUUCAUUAGUCAGUUUCUUUCUUUCACGACGGUACAUAUUGACCGGUCAGAAAGGAAAGCGCGCACAGCAAGGCAAUUCCAUUCGCCAACUGGUUACUUUCAUCGACAACGUCCGCGACGUUUUUCCAGCCUUCCACCCGGCUUGCACGUAAAUUAGAUAUGUGCGCGCGCUUGUUCAAUCAAUUCGGUCCACGUACACAGGGGAACGUUUUCGAUAUUCGCUUCAUCGAUUGAAGUCCUGCAUGAAUGGCCAGUGCAUUCGGUCGGUCCAUUUCAACGACACAGCAACAAGAUUGCUAGCCAAGAAAUAUUUGCGUGAUUUUUUCUAGCCGGAAACCAGCAUAAAUACGUCGACCUGUGCGACUCGACAACCGUGCGAGGGCAAACGACGCAAGUGGAAAUAAUCAUGGAUGAAACGAUUGCGAUCGCCCCUUUCGCUCUCCGAAAAACGAGAAAAGUAAUGGUAAAGUUGUAUUCUCAUGUCUGAAAUAUGGACGACAAGCGGAAAAACGGAUGAUAACCGAGUACUCUAUGUACCGAAACUCUGACGAUCGUUGACUGGCAAGAAAGGAACAAAGCUCAAGGGAGACAACUAUCGAUUCUCGUAAUGCGUAACGUUUGAUUAACGAGACGCUUUUCCGCACAAUUACGUCAUUGCGAUACGUCGACGACGAUAGGAUAGGCGGAGGAAGCGUUGACAGACGUCUAUCGCCAUGAAGGCGAACGAUGGGAGGCGUUCACCCUUUUGUCGUGAUCGGAUAAGCCGAUAACAAUGGAGAUAAUGAAGGUAGGACUUUUGGUGAGAUUUACGAAGCAACCAGAUAACCAUUAUUAUAAGAAAUAAAUAUUCAACGUUUUGGUUCUGAUUGAAUUUCUUCAAGAAAAAAAUGAUUUCCUGCAAAGAAUUUUUAUUCGGGCAAGUGAAAUUGAUGAGAAAGUAGCGGAAAUAAUAAUAAAGACGAUAUUAUUGCAGUAUAAUAAUUCGUAAUACGCGAACAUCCUUCUAGGACAUCAUUAUCAUCCUUAUCAUCAUGAGCCGUGUGGUUCCACGACGUCAGAUUUUCGGCCUCACGUGCCGUCAGUUCUAAAGAGGACACGACGCUGACACAUACUUGUUAUUCAUUUGAUUAGUUUCAUCAACGCAAUUAUAAUUUAUGUGGAAUCCGCGCGUGCAAGAACUUCCGCCUCGUUGCAAGACAUUCUUGGAAGUCACGGCCACCUCUGCCCACCACGGGUUAAAGGCGGCGCUAAGGUACGAAAGCUGCGAGCGUUUAAGAGUUCCAAGGACGCAUAAAUAGCAAGCUCGUUUGCCCGAACAAGUCCUCACUCCCGAAACUCGGUACAAGAGGAGCUGGCAAAUUCCUCGUUCCAUUUUCAUCCCAGACAAUAUGCCUCUCGCGGCACGACCAACUUUCUCGGAACAUAUUUUUUCGUAGAACGUCGCGGGGUUGGAGCGCGUCUUAAAUCAUUUGGAUCUUCUCCUUCUCGUACUCGGCGGAAUAUCUGCUCGGUUCGAGAAGCGGAACGAAAGCAGGCUCUGCGAAUAAAGGAAGAGCGGAGGGAACGGAAAGAGAGGACAUCGUGGUCCAGCGCGGGACGUCGGAAAGGGUUGUCAGCUCAAAAGGGGAUUAAAGAAGAACGGAAUUUCUAGUAGUUAUGCCUGCCGGACUCGCAGCCUGCCUUGAAUUAUGAUCGCGCCCACUCCAGUCUCUAUUAAAGUUAUAAAUUUUCAAUUCAAUAACAUGUCGACUAUCGUCGGAUACAAUCACUGUUCGACCUAUUCGUUUGCUUA